UCCCUGGAGGACUAGUGGUUAGGCUUCAACGCUCUCACCGCCGUGGCCCGUGUUCGAUUCCUGGCCAGGGAA
rnacentral:tRNA from 1 species